rnacentral:rRNA from 1 species
GGGUCCGGACACACUGAGGAUUGACAGGCAAAAGAUACAAGUUUUCUUUGUGAGAGCUUGCAUUGUAAAAUAUGCGAGUCCUUUCAUGAUUAUGUGAUAGGUGGUGCAUGGCCGUUCUUAGCUCGUGGAGUGAUCUGUCUGCUUAAUUGCGUUUCACAACGAUUUAAAAUGCUAUGUUUUCUGUGUUUGCUGUUCGGUUUUAGCUCUUACGGGAGUUUUUAACUUUGAACGCACACGGCGUAGCUUAAAACAAUCGGAAAGCAACGAACGUGACCGCAACCUCUUGUUGCCUUUAUUUUUAAAAGCGUAGAAAAUUUUAUAUUUUCUUACGCUUGAAAAAGGCUUUAAAACUAGAGGGACCGCUGUUCUAUUCUCUUAAACCAGAGGAAGAUUGCGGCAAUAACAGGUCUGUGAUGCCCUCAGAUGUUCCGGGCUGCACACGUGCUACAAUGAUUGUUGCAGUGAGCAUCUAUUUUCAAACGCUACCGUUGCGGAUUUUGUGAGAAGGGGGCUUGUUUUAAAGCUUUCGGGUGGAGAAGCAGGUCCUUUUUUUCACAAUUUAUUCCGCGUUACGUGUCAGCUAAACCUGCUUCGAAAGCAAGUAGGU